GUGGGGAAUUUUGCGCAAUGGGGGAAACCCUGACGCAGCGACGCCGCGUGGAGGACGAAGGCCUUCGGGUUGUAAACUCCUUUUGCCAGGGACAAUGAUGAUGGUACCUGGCGAAUAAGCCACGGCUAACUCUGUGCCAGCAGCCGCGGUAAGACAGAGGUGGCAAGCGUUGUUCGGAAUCACUGGGCUUAAAGGGCGCGUAGGCGGCAGCGCAAGUCUGCGGUGGAAUCCCGGGGCUUAACCCCGGAACUGCCUUGGAAACUGCGCAGCUUGAGUCAGUGAGGGGAGGGCGGAAUUCCCGGUGUAGCAGUGAAAUGCGUAGAUAUCGGGAGGAAGGCCGGUGGCGAAGGCGGCCCUCUGGCACUUGACUGACGCUGAGGCGCGAAAGCGUGGGGAGCAAACAGGAUUAGAAACCCCUGUAGUCC
rnacentral:rRNA from 1 species